rnacentral:rRNA from 1 species
UAAAAAGCUCGUAGUUGAACCUUGGGCCUGGCUGGCCGGUCCGCCUCACCGCGUGCACUGGUUCGGCCGGGCCUUUCCCUCUGGGGAACCUCAUGCCCUUCACUGGGUGUGAUGGGGAACCAGGACUUUUACUGUGAAAAAAUUAGAGUGUUCAAAGCAGGCCUAUGCUCGAAUACAUUAGCAUGGAAUAAUAGAAUAGGACGUGUGGUUCUAUUUUGUUGGUUUCUAGGACCGCCGUAAUGAUUAAUAGGGACAGUCGGGGG